rnacentral:misc_RNA from 1 species
CAAGGGCAUAUUGGUCGGCCCAAUGCUAUUUUUAUUACACUGGUAUAUACAACACUGGUAUACAGACGAUUACACAAACAAUCAAUAGAGAAACCAACCAUCACACAUGAUUAAAAGUCUUUUAUUAAUCUGUAGACGCUAGACAGCGCCUCUGACUCAGAGCUUUAUGUUCCCCUCAUUAAGCAUAUGAAAAAUUCCCUCCCUCCGUACAGCAGCUAGUAAGCAUGGGAAGAUUUGAAUGUAAUGAUAUGCAAUGCACUCUGAGAAUGAAAAUAGUAACCAGUAUCCUAGGUCUUAUAGAAAUAUAUAGUAAGCUUGGGAAGAUUCCGAAGAUCACAGGAUGUAAUGCAAAGUGAGAAGGAAAAUAGUAUCCCAGCACGGGAAGAAAUACGUGACAAGAAAAAAUGCUAGUAUACAAAUACAAGCAUUUGCAGAGCCAGAAGAGCAAUCAAAUACAACAAUAUUUUUCCCCCAGCAAUACUCCUCGACAAUGAGUAGCAUGCUUUAACCUACAGUCCUACACUAUCAAAUUCAUGGCUACAAGGAGUCAUGGCUCUGCUUGGACACUAAGCUGGUCAUGGUCAGACAAAAGAAUGUUUGCAGGAAGAAAACAAAUCUCCGUCCUAGUCAAGCACCAAGGAUUGUUCUCUUGGAGUUGAUAAAUUACAUACACAGCUAGAUUAUAUACAGAAUUGUACACUCGAGGAGCAUAAGCCACACCCAAUUUAUGACCAUUUAAUGAAGCAUACAUUUGGAUCAAAAUACUUCAUGCUAAAUUGGAAAUGCCCAUCAAAUGUCAAGUGUUGAAACUAAUGGCAUCUCUACACAGCGCUGUAUUGUACUGCACUUAUCCGGUUCCUGCCUCGACCUCUUCGUGCAUUAGUAAUGCUAGAAAUCAAGGAACCAUAUAGAUUUAAGAGGGCGCUAUGUCCCAUUAACUUCAAGCCCAAGUUCUUAACCAAAUAUGACAACUUAUCCUCAUUACCCCCUGUCAUCAACUGUAGCUCAUGUACUUGUUGACAAGAUAACACUACAUAAAGCUGCAAUGGUAGAUGCAAAGGAUUUUGGAAGCUCUCCUCUAAUUCCUUCUUCAGAUAAUCUCCGCAAUUAUCAAAAGUAAUUCUCAUAAUACCCAUUGAAUUUGGGGCAUGUAUCAAAGGAUUAGAUAUAAAUGACAAAUUUCCAAAUGCUAGGUCAGGUCUCCUGAAUAGAUCUACCAAUGUAUCAUUGCUUAGUCCAGCGUUCCUCUGCACAGACUUCCUUGAAUUAUUUUGCCAACUUCUACUAAUUCUUAAAAUGCGAGAAGCUUCUCUUAAACCACUCAAGAAGGCACCAUGCAUUGUGGCUGGAUAUUGCCUAGUUGUUGCCUCACCAGCAAAAAACAGCCGACCACCAACACUUUCUGCAAGUAAAUCAUAGUCACUGCCAGAUGACUGUACCCUAACAUGAGAAUAUGAACCAUAACUAAAGGGAUCACUGCCCCAUCUCGUACAAAUUGUUUGUAUGGGGUCAGGAACAUCAACGCCUUUUGGAUUGUAUAUACCUCUAAGAACUCUUAAAACACGGUGGAGCAGAGUAGAUGGAUCCGUAUAUUCAAAUAUUUGUGCUGCUUCUCCAGCAACCAAUGCAAUAAGUACUGGACCUCCAGAAACAGUAUGGUAACCAUAGAACAGAAAAAACUCUCCACGCUUACUGCUAUUCUCACUGAGACAUCCAAAUGUAUCCAAGUCCUCCCCCCAAAAAACAUGGGGGAAAACCAUUGCCACUUUAUUAAGCAGUCCAAAACCCAAUCUAUCAAUUGCUGCAAGCUUUCUUCCAGGUAACUCUGGUUCAAAUUUGAUGGUUCUUUUCUUCAAGACUCCAAGAGGCACAGUACAUAGGACCAUAUCUGCUUGAAACACUUGUUCACCAGCAAUAACCAUAACACCUUCACUUCCAUAUCUAACAGUAUUCACAGCCUUCCCGUAGAAUAUAGGAACCCCUUCACAUAGUUCUUUUAUCAAUCUCCAGUUCCCUCCAGCUAGAAAGCAGUGGUCCCCACCCAUUUCAUAAGGAUCAUCCUGAUCCCAAUAUGUAGCUGAUAGAUUUGAGAGACAUCCUGCAUUUGCAUAUUCCAAGUUAGCAAGAUGCCAAUCAAGCAACUGCCUCUCUUCUGUACUUCUAGCCACAGCAUACAACUUCCUGAGUCUCUCCAAAACUGAACCCAGAGAAACAUCAUUUGCAAAUCCACCCAUUAUUUUUCUAAGUUCCAUUACUUUGUCGAGCAACUUAUUGAAGAUGAAUUCAAUCCUAUAAUCAACUUCCUUAUCAACAGGUGCCCCAUCUGGUCUGUACAAAGGGCAGUUAUCUCGCACCUUAUGGAGUGGAAUAGAAAGUUGCCUAGCAAGAACUCCCAAAGGAUUAGCAUGUAUACCAGUAAUAACACUGCCUCCAAGAUCCACAGCAGCAAAUUGGUCUUUCCUACCCAUUUUUUGAGUAUAAACUCUCCCUCCAGGACGAUUCCUACCUUCUAAAACAACCACCUUAAAACCAAAGGACAUGAGUUGUCUUGCUGAUGAUAAACCAGCAAGUCCCGCACCAACAAUUAUCACAGACCCUUCAUUAAUCAAUUCUGGCAUAGGGGACAUAAGUGAUGAAAAAACUCCAAAAUUAAUAUACCCAUUGUACAAAAGAAAAUCAUAAGCAGAAGAUACCAAAUUCUCAUAUUCAUUGCUCACAGUUUCUUUAAUCUGUCCCUUUGAUAGCCACACCUUCACAUUACUUCUCCACCUUGCAAGGAUAUGAUUCCUCACAACAAUAUAAUCAUUCUGCUCUUUGCCACCCAAUUGUCUUACCACCCCAGCUUGAAUCUCCUCCUCAAGUAAUGCAUCAAUUGGGAACCCCAGAGAUAUUGCUAUCAUUGCCUCAGUUUCAGUCUCCUUUUCCAAAUCCUCCCUUGUUCGAUUCCUUUUCUUUAAAGAACCACCCAAUUGAUUCUCUAUCAAUUCAUCCAUCAAAUUCUCGUCAUAAUUCCGCAAAACUGCUUUCUUCCUCAACGACCUCUUUGUAAUCAGCCCUUCCUGGCGUGGGGUUUCCAUAGUCCAAUGAACGACAAUCCAACUUUUCAACUCAAACUCAAAACAUCCUCAAGCUCAAAACAUCCUCAAGAACAGAACAAUACAUUGCCCUUCAAUAUUAAUCACUGAUCAACUCCAAGCAAAAUAGCAUCAAGUAAAUAUUUCUUAUGCAGAAAUUUCAUGAAAAAACAAUCAAGAACACAACUUGGCAUGUCUCUUUAAGUACUAUCAUAUCAACUAAAACCAAACUGCAACAGAAUGGGUAUAUCUCAACUAUCAACUCCGCAACACACCCAUCCAAAAAACUACAGUAGUCGUCUUGAAUUCAUCUCCAAUUUUACAAGAAAAAUAUAAAGUUACUCAGCACAUACAAAGAGAUUCCAGAUUCAUUCAAAACCCAUUUCUCUUUCAACUGCAAUACUAUCCUGAAACACCAAACUUGUAGCCACCCUGUUUCCUCUACAAAGUGAUGCCCGCCGGCAACUUGAAACCCCACUAGCUGAAUGGCCAUAAACACUAAAAACAGGAAAAACCUGGAAAUGAUAAAUAUCUAAGAAACAAUAUAAUUUGAGCUAAAAUGAGUGAUUAAGAGGAGAAGGAAAGAAGUGAAAGUAGAUAGUGGCUACGAGCUUCACGAGAACGCUGUAGGUGAUUGAACCAACAGCAAGGGGAGUGAAAACAAAGAUAAAGGGAGAGAAUAGGAGAGAAGUAGCUUGGUGUCACUGCCGUCAUUGAUGUGGCCGCGGAGAAAAGGAUCGAAUGGUUUGCUAUGAAAGUCGGGGAGAAUUUGUGUGGGUCUGUAAUGAAGUAACAAAUAUAAGGAUAUGGGCCUACGAGAUGGGAAGAGGAUUUUGAUUUGAGCAAGUGGGUUUGACUAGUGUGUUUAGGAUUUUGAUUUGAGUAAUGCAGGAGAUGCCAGCGUAAAUG